CCACGGCUUUGUAUCUUCCAUCUUUCGCAAGCUGGGUAAUGGUAAUUCCCUCAUGAAACCCUGUGGGAAGCAGGAGGGACCAUCCUCCAAGCCUAAAUACUACCUAGUGACCGAUAGCGUAUAGUACCGUGAGGGAAAGGUGAAAAGAACCCCGGGAGGGGAGUGAAAGAGAACCUGAAACCCUGCACUUACAAGCUGUAGGAGCACAUUAUUUGUGUGACUGCGUACUUUUUGUAGAACGGGCCAACGAGUUACGUUGUGUAGCAAGGUUAAGCACUUAAGGUGUGGAGCCGUAGCGAAAGCGAGUCUUAAAUGGGCGUCCAGUUACCCGACGUAGACCCGAAACCAGGCGACCUAUCCAUGAGCAGGUUGAAGCGAAAGUAAAAUUUCGUGGAGGACCGAACCCACGUACGUUGAAAAGUGCGGGGAUGACUUGUGGAUAGCGGAGAAAUUCCAAUCGAGCCCGGAGAUAGCUGGUUCUCCCCGAAAUAGCUUUAGGGCUAGCCUCAAGCUUAGAGAAACGGAGGUAGAGCACUGAAUGUCCUAGGGGGUAUUGCACUUACCGAAGACUAUCAAACUCCGAAUGCCGUAUUCUUUUGCUUGGGAGUCAGACUAUGGGUGAUAAGAUUCAUAGUCAAGAGGGCAACAGCCCAGAUCGUCAGCUAAGGUCCCUAAAUGUAAGUUAAGUGGUAAAGGAUGUGGAAUUGCACAGACAACCAGGAUGUUGGCUUAGAAGCAGCCACUCAUUUAAAGAGUGCGUAAUAGCUCACUGGUCGAGUGAUUCUGCGCCGAAAAUUUCCGGGGCUAAAACUUACUACCGAAGCUACGGCAUCAUUAUGAUGGGUAGGGGAGCUUUCUAUGUGGCUUGAAGCAUGACCGUAAGGACAUGUGGACUGCAUAGAAGUGAGAAUGUUGGCAUGAGUAGCGAGAUGUGGGUGAGAAUCCCACAGGCCGUAAACCCAAGGUUUCCAGGGGAAGGUUCGUCCGCCCUGGGUUAGUCAGGACCUAAGCCGAGGCCGAAAGGCGUAGGUGAUGGACAACAGGUUGAUAUUCCUGUACCACCAAUAACCGUUUGAGAAAUGGGAUGACACAGUAGGAUAAGCUAACCGCACUGUUGGUUAUGUGCGGGCAAGUAUUGAGGCAGUUCCGAUAGGCAAAUCCGUCGGAAUAAUGCUGGGGUACGAUGCGGAGCGAAAUUUAGUAGCGAAGUAGCUGAUUUCACACUGUCGAGAAAAGUCUCUAUCGAGGUUAAAGGUGCCUGUACCGCAAACCGACACAGGUGGGUGAGGAGAGUAUCCUAAGGCCAGCGAGAGAACUGUUGUUAAGGAACUCGGCAAAAUGACCCCGUAACUUAGGGAGAAGGGGUGCCUUCGAAAGAAGGCCGCAGAGAAUAGGCCCAAGCGACUGUUUACCAAAAACAUAGGUUUCUGCUAAGUCGCAAGACGAUGUAUAGGAGCUGACGCCUGCCCGGUGCUGGAAGGUUAAGGGGAUCUGUUAGAGCAAUCGAAGCAGUGAACUUAAGCCCCAGUAAACGGCGGCCGUAACUAUAACGGUCCUAAGGUAGCGAAAUUCCUUGUCGGGUAAGUUCC
rnacentral:rRNA from 1 species